rnacentral:rRNA from 1 species
UACGUAGGGUGCGAGCGUUGUCCGGAAUUAUUGGGCGUAAAGAGCUUGUAGGCGGUCUGUCGCGUCUGCUGUGAAAAUCCGGGGCUCAACCCCGGACUUGCAGUGGGUACGGGCAGACUAGAGUGUGGUAGGGGAGACUGGAAUUCCUGGUGUAGCGGUGAAAUGCGCAGAUAUCAGGAGGAACACCGAUGGCGAAGGCGGUUC